rnacentral:piRNA from 1 species
UCCAGAGUCCUUUACAUCUUUGGGGA